rnacentral:lncRNA from 1 species
GUCCUGGUAUCUAUGAUGAGUUUAUUUCAUGUUACAACUCAUUGCUUUCAAGCUGCUGACAAUACAACAUUAUUCUGUUCACAACAUAAAGAAAUAAGAAGAUGUAGUAUGAGUGCCAAUGGUAAGGAGACAACUCUCCAUCCAUGUCUAGGAUUUGUGAAAGUAAACCAUUAUAGGUCAAUGUACAGCCUUCUAUAAGUACAUUAGAAAUAUUUGACAAACAUUUGUUGAAUAAACAAACAUGCAACAAACAGAUGAUCAGACUAUGUGAAUGCAAAAUAACCCUAACUCAACAGUGAAGUUAAAUAAAAUUAAAAUGAAAGAACC